UACGGACGGGGCAAGCGUUGUUCGGAAUCAUUGGGCGUAAAGGGCGUGUAGGUGGUUCUGUAUGUCUACCGUGAAAGCGUACGGCUCAACCGUAUUUAGUCGGUAGAAACUGCAGGACUUGAGGCUGGGAGGGGCUGGUGGAAUUCCCCGUGUAGCGGUGAAAUGCGUAGAGAUGGGGGAGAACACGCGUGGCGAAGGCGGCCAGCUAGACCAGUUCUGACACUGAGGCGCGACAGCGUGGGGAGCAAACAGG
rnacentral:rRNA from 1 species